rfam:Populus trichocarpa scaffold_18_contig_147, whole genome shotgun sequence.
UCUAGAACUCGAGAUAUGGGCUUAACAGUGUCCGGGCUAGAGGACAGGUUCCGACUUCUCUUUUGUUGCUACAAUUUCAACUUGAAAACAGUUGUUUUGAAUCUUGGAGUCUUCAUGAAAUUUUUAAGCCUAUGACUUAGAUUUCCAUC